CCCUGUGUUUCCUGCCUGUGAGUCUGUUUUCUGGGAUUUCCUGAACGCAACCUUUCUGGUUGCCAGGAUACGAAGCAAGGCUGGAGGAUCUGCAACCACUCACACCUGUGUCUCAUCUGUAAUCUGCACACCUGGCCCUGAUCAUCACCUCUCCACCAUUUAAGCCAUGAACUGACAUCCAUUCUCUGCUGGAUUGUUAGCCUCACCAGUACGUUUGCUUUUGCGACCUGGGAAAUCCUCUCCACCUCUGCUGGGCUGUCUACUUCACCAUCAUUAUUGGACCUGCAUGUACCUGUCAGCCGACCCACUUCCACCACUGCCUGGCUUGCUGGACUCCUCUGCUUCCACGUACAAAGCCUAAUAAAGACUCACCUUUUUGCUCAUUCUGUU